GAUGAACGCUGGCGGCGUGCUUAACACAUGCAAGUCGAACGGAAAGGCCCUGCUUUUGUGGGGUGCUCGAGUGGCGAACGGGUGAGUAACACGUGAGUAACCUGCCCUUGACUUUGGGAUAACUUUAGGAAACUGGGGCUAAUACCGGAUAGGAGCUCCUGCUGCAUGGUGGGGGUUGGAAAGUUUCGGCGGUUGGGGAUGGACUCGCGGCUUAUCAGCUUGUUGGUGGGGUAGUGGCUUACCAAGGCUUUGACGGGUAGCCGGCCUGAGAGGGUGACCGGCCACAUUGGGACUGAGAUACGGCCCAGACUCCUACGGGAGGCAGCAGUGGGGAAUAUUGCACAGUGGGCGGAAGCCAGAUGCAGCAACGCCGCGUGCGGGAAGACGGCCUUCGGGGUGUAAACCGCUUUCGCCUGAGACGAAGCGUGAGUGACGGUAAUGGGUAAAGAAGCACCGGCUAACUACGUG
rnacentral:rRNA from 1 species